UACGUAGGGUCCGAGCGUUGUCCGGAAUUACUGGGCGUAAAGAGCUCGUAGGUGGUUUGUCGCGUUGUUCGUGAAAACUCACAGCUCAACUGUGGGCGUGCGGGCGAUACGGGCAGACUAGAGUACUGCAGGGGAGACUGGAAUUCCUGGUGUAGCGGUGGAAUGCGCAGAUAUCAGGAGGAACACCGGUGGCGAAGGCGGGUCUCUGGGCCGAUACUGACGCUGGAGGAGCGAAAGCCGUGGGGAGCGAACAGG
rnacentral:rRNA from 1 species